rnacentral:rRNA from 1 species
AACGCGAAGAACCUUACCUGGGUUUGACAUCCACUGACCGUCCUAGAGAUAGGGCUUCUCCUUCGGGAGCAGUGAGACAGGUGCUGCAUGGCUGUCGUCAGCUCGUAUCGUGAGAUGUCGGGUUAAGUCCCUUAACGAGCGCAACCCUUGUCCCUUGUUGCCAUCAUUCAGUUGGGCACUCCAGGGAGACCGCCGGUGUUAAACCGGAGGAAGGUGGGGAUGACGUCAAGUCCUCAUGGCCCUUAUAUCCAGGGCUACACACGUGCUACAAUGGCCAGUACAAAGGGUUGCUAACGCGCAAGCGGGAGCUAAUCUCAGAAAGCUGGUCUCAGUUCGGAUUGAAGUCUGCAACUCGACUUCAUGAAGCUGGAAUCGCUAGUAAUCGCGGAUCAGAACGCCGCGGUGAAUACGUUCCCGGGCCUUGUACACACCGAGACGUA